rnacentral:rRNA from 1 species
UACGGAAGGUCCGGGCGUUAUCCGGAUUUAUUGGGUUUAAAGGGAGCGUAGGCCGGUCUUUAAGCGUGCCGUGAAAUUUUGUGGCUCAACCAUGAGAGUGCGGCGCGAACUGGAGACCUUGAGUGCGCGGAAGGCAGGCGGAAUUCGUGGUGUAGCGGUGAAAUGCAUAGAUAUCACGCAGAACUCCGAUUGCGAAGGCAGCUUACUAAGCCAUAACUGACACUGAAGCACGAAAGCGUGGGGAUCAAACAGG